AAGUAACCAGUAUUCAUAUUUCAAGCAAGGAUAAUUACUUCAUAAAGAAAUUCUGGUUGGAUAUAAUCAAUUUAGAUGGCAAUUUUUUGUUGAGGUAUCAUGUUCAAAAAUUUUGUGGUACAUAUAUAGCAAAAUAAUGGGUUAAUUUAGGCAAGCUGCCAGACUGUUUUUGAAGCUCCCAAUAGAUUUAGCAUUUUGUUGGUACCACCAGAGUUCAUCCGUGGAGGCCUCACCAAUCUAGACGGUGCAUCCGUCCAUCUUGCGUCAUCAUCCAGAUAAACCACCGCACAACAAUAUGUCAAUCUAAUUUGUUUUUAGAUUUUUGAGGUUCGUUGCUGCUAAUUCAGGCGAGAUGUGGUUACUCGAUUUCCGCCAGAUUGACCACAGGGAGACGUAGAAACCAACUAUUAUGCCAACCGGUCAUCAAACAACCACCAGUAGGCCUAAGCCAUCUUGUUAUGUUUCGAUGAAACAGAGUUAAUCCUGUCUGUUUGAUUUCUCAAGUUUGUGUUAAAUUACAUCAUCACUAAUUUAAUUGUCUCUUUGCGGCAACUCAAAUGCAAAUGAGGUUUGGGGUCUGACAGGCACCACAUGCCCAUUUUCUUAUUGCCAAACUCUCAACUCUUCUUAAAGUGUGGUCUCUUACUAACCCUUAAUGCAGAUUGAAAUUUGGUUUCUUUCUAGAUGAUGUAUUGACUGUUGAGCAAAUGAGCUUGCAAUCUCCAGAGCAAAUAGGUAUAUGGCAGUUAAUUAGCUUAUAGAGGGUGCAGUUAGAGGUCUUUUCCUAUUUAGAUAUUUCAAUCUGUUCUAAUUUUAUUUAUUAAUUUCUUUUGUCUAUGACUGGUUUGUUUCCGCUUGGAGGAUAUCAAUUUUUGCUGAUCAUUGGUCCAUGUUCAUUAGAAGGAUUUGAGAGUCAUUGAAUCAUCCAUUUUUGAAAACUGUUUACUAUGUGAUAAGCUUGUGAAGUUUGAUCAUAUUUCAGGAUGUUCUAUCGACCCCGGUGAGGAAACCUAUCCAAAAGAGAUGAUUCAAACAGGAAUAACCACCAUUGAUGUGAUGAACUCAAUUGCACGAGGGUAAAAAAUUCCUCUCUUCUCUGCUGCUGAUGAACUCAAUUGCGCGAGGGUAAAAAAUUUCUCUAUUAUCUGCUACUGGGCUUCCACACAAUGAGAUUGCUGCUCGGAUAUGUCGUCAAGCUGAUCUUGUUAAAAGGAUGGUGAAUUCUUGCAAGCACAAUGAGGUGAUGACUGAAAGUUUCUAAUUCCGUCUAGGGUGCACAACUUGUGAUGAUACCUCUGAAGUAUGAGGAGUUGUCUAUUUAGUUAGCGACAUGAGAACAAUCUAUCAUCAAUUCAUUAUAUUGUAGUUUUCAUUAGUAUCGUAUUAAUGUAAAGCAUGUGCGGCACGCGCGGACCACCUUGCUAUUAUCAAUUUAUUAAGCAAAGGAGACUAGCAGCGCGUCGUCCUCCACUUGGAAAAUGCUUCCAUUUCUCUUCCAAGUUUGUAACUGCAAAAUUCAAGUUCAGUAACCAAAUAUGAUUUA